UCCAGGAUUGCAUUUAGCACAUAUAGUACAUGACUUACAGUAAUUCUGUGUUAAGGUGGUGAUGCCUGGUGCUUCGAAAUAUUUGUCAAUCAGUGAAUUCAUCAGGAGUUUUGACAGAUGAGCUGGCCCAUGGGGCCAUUGGACCACCGCUGGAUACAUAUUUCUGGGUAGGCAAAACUUGAGAUUGAUAGUGUAAACAUCAUCACGGAGUACAGCUCCUUUGUUCUUCC